rnacentral:lncRNA from 1 species
GUAAAUUCAAUGUAGAUACUGUAGAUUACUCUGUCAAAUUGUACAGAAUCUUACCUGUGGUCAAUUGUGACAUGUAUCGUUUUCAUAGAGUGAGGAGGAGAUGGGAAACUGGACCCCCUAUGCAAGGAGGCCGUCAGUGCUGUGCAGAAUGCAUACUGAGAUACACCCACACUCUACCAGGAGAUUGGUCAAGGGGAUGAAUCUAAUCUAGUAGUAAACCUGAAGAGAAACACAGCAACAGACACUUUUUGUAUUUUUUUGAUGACAAGCAUUAUAGUACCAUACAAUAGUAUUCUCCAGCAUUAAGUCAAGUGUUGUUGUAUUUAUUGCUACAUAAUCUCGGAGACCCAGAAUCAAAUGUGCCGUGUAUGCUGGUCAUCUCAACAGUCUGUCGUGAGAGACUGCAACAUGCUAAUUGCGAAAUGUAGUCAUUAUAGUUUCUUAUGAUUUUUAUUUAGUGGUGAUUGACUGUGCUAUAGUUACUCUAUCAUUGUCAAUAUUGCCUCAGACAAUUUUGUGUCUGGUCCCUGUCUGAAAACAUACAUUACAAAAUCCAAAUAAUUCCCUUAACCUUUGGCAUACAACCAUUCUUAGAUCUGCUUCCUGUGGUCUCUCUCCUCAUCUGAAUAUGAUUACUUCUGCAAUCCAUUCUCAAUUAGCCUUAUGGGAGGGAUUGUGCACUAAUAGAAUCAUACCCCAUCGGUCAAACCACAGACCAAAUUAGCAGACCAAAUUUGCACUGCAAGCAAAAUCCAAACAGUCAUGCAAACACUGCCACACAGUCACAGUCUGGCCGCGUCCCAAAUGGCACCCUAUUCUCUAUGCGGUGCACUACUUUUGACCAGAGCCCUGGUCAAAAGUAGUGCACUCUUAAGGGAAUAGGGUGCCAUUUGGGACGCUACGUCUGAGGCUAGGCUCAAUGUCAGCUUCAAAGUUAACCAAAAACAUAUGGAGGUGCUUAUAGGGGUUCAUGGCACUUACCACAUUUCAUUUCAAUGCAAUCAAGCCCCCCCCACACACACACACACACAUAUAAAUACAGUACGCCUCCUACGUGAUUGUCCUCGAAACGUUAUUAAUGCUUUAUUACUAAAACAGCCAGCUUGGAGGACUUUCUUUUUGGAAGAAUAUCAGACAACCAAAAGAGAACCUUGUCCCCCAUCUUCUGAAAGAGCCGAGAUGAUUACCUCCGUUUCUUCCUGUGCGGCAUCAGUGUAUACAUCCCAAAUGUCACCCUAUUCCAUAUAUGGUGCACUACUUUUUACCAGAACAAGUAGAAGUAGUGCACUAUAUAGGGAAUAGGGUCCCAUUCGGGACGCAAUGUCUAGCACUGAAACAUAUUUAAGGGGGAGUAAACAAAAAGAAACAAACUGAAAUAUACUCUCUGUUUCUCUCCUCGCGCCUCCACCCUCCUAAACUAUUGCCUAAAGCUCCUGUUUUUAACAGCUCUUUAACAGUUUGCUAGAUUUUCAACCUGGCUAGGUGGAUAGCACAGUUAAUGUACCUGACAGCGAAGCUAUGGAAUUCAGAGAAAACAUCUGGGUGUCAAAUAAAAGCAAUUGUC